UCAGUAUUGUGGAGUGGAGAAAUAGCAGGUUCGGGCGUUCGGCUAUCAGCAGGUACGCAUGAACAGCAGAAUCCACUGCCAAUUAAGAAACAAAAAGUAACUUGAAAGUUGCUCCUCUUAUCCGUCCACCUACCUGCCUGCCUAUGUUAGGAGAUGGAUGGAGAGGCGAAGUGGGCACGUUGAGUUUUGUUAGUCAACCAUAAGAAGGAAUAUACAGUGCAGAAUUCCAUUGGUUGCUUAAAAAGGUGGAAGCUUUGGUGGAGGAUAAUCUUGCAGAUUAGAGAUGGGCAAGAAAAAUUCGUUCAGGGGCAAAGCAGUACACUUCGUAUCAGAUGUUACAACUGUCCUCCUCAACCCCAUUUCUGACAAACCCUCCUCAAACUCUCAUCCUCCCACUGAAGAUGAGAAUGAGUCGAGAAAAAGUCAGCUAGAGCCAGCUGCUGAAGAGGUUUCUGGGAAUUUAGUUGAUGGGCCUGAUACUUCUUCCUUCACUGCAUUCCUCUAUUCCCUUUGGUCAAAUUCUGAUGCAAAUUCAGAUGAGAAAAAUGAUAAUCAAACAGAAAUGGGUGGCUAUCAUUCUGAUGAUGUGAUAAAAGAGAGUGGGACAAUUUCCAGGGGUAAAAAGUCACUGAGAGCCAUUUACCAAGCUGCUAGAAUAGGUGGGUAUCGAAAUCAAGAGCGCAAGACUGAUUCUGACUCUGACGUGAAACCUGAUGAAAAUAGUGAUGAUAAUUUUGAUGCACUUGAGAUGAGUCACAUACCAAAAAUGAAAGAGUCUAUGGCUUCAACAGAUCUUCCGGAUAUCUCUGAACCUUCUUUGCUUAUUUCAGAGAAAACAAGAGGUGUCCUUUAUGCCUCACUUCCAGUGCUUUUUCAAGGGAGGAAAUGGUUGUUGCUCUACAGUACAUGGAGGCAUGGCAUAUCGCUCUCAACCCUUUACCGAAGAAGCAUGCUUUGGCCAGGCCUUAGUUUACUGGUUGUAGGAGAUCGUAGAGGUGCGGUGUUUGGUGGCUUGGUUGACGCUCCCCUGAGACCAACCAACAGGAGAAAGUAUCAGGGAUCCAAUAGCACUUUUGUAUUUACAAAUACUUCUGGCCAUCCUGUCAUAUUCCGCCCAACAGCUGAUUUUUGUUUAAGCAGGUGCAAAUCGCUAUUUUACUUUGUGCUCCACCGACUAUCUAGCCAUUGGUGGUGGAGGACACUUUGCGCUUUAUUUGGAUGGUGAUCUGUUGAAUGGAUCAAGUUCAGUUUCUGAAACCUAUGGGAACCCUUGUCUUGCAUACUCUGAAGACUUUGAAGUCAAGGAAAUCGAGUUGUGGGGCUUUGUGUAUGGUUCAAGGUAUGAAGAAAUACUUGCUCUAAGUAAAACUGAGAUGCCUGGUAUUUGCCGGUGGUAACGCUCGGGGAAGAUCUUACUUUCACUGGAUGAUAUAAUAUGCUGAUUAUAUACAAUCAAUGCGUGGGAGGUCCUUACUUCUGUAUAUUCAGGGUCUCUUAGUUACCAUGUUACACUUUGUACAUAUGUAUUCUCUGUAUAUAGGAAGGACAUUUGCAAAAUCACCAAUUUCGGGUAUGAAUUGGAUUGAGACAUCGAUGAACGUUACGCGAUUUAAACCAAGUAUGAAGACUUCUGCGUUCCGCUAAAGUAGUUGAUGACUAUA